GCUGCUGGGCGGUCACCUGGGAGUGCCGCCUCGGGAGGAGCCGGGGCUGUCCCAGGAAUGCUUUCACUCGGCCCAACCAUGGCUGCGGCCCUGCGCGCCGCGGGCGCCCUGCUCCGGGAUCCGCUGGCGUCCGGCAGCUGGAGGGCCGGUCAACCGCGGAGGUGGAAGUGGCUGCAGCCGCAGCAGCUGCCGCUGCAGAAACAACCCAGCAUGCCUGGGCCGCAAAGCCUCAAGUUCAGCCGGAGAAGAGGAAGCCAAAAACUGGAAUAUUAAUGCUAAACAUGGGAGGCCCUGAAACCCUUGGAGAUGUUCACGGCUUCCUUCUGAGACUCUUCUUGGACCGAGAUCUCAUGAUGCUUCCUAUUCAGAAUAAGCAAUGAAUGGCACCAUUCAUUGCCAAACGCCGAACCCCCAAGAUUCAAGAGCAGUACCGCAGGAUUGGAGGCGGAUCCCCCAUCAAGAUGUAGACUUCCAAGCAGGGAGAGGGCGUGGUGAAGCUGCUGGAUGAAUUGUCCCCCAACACAGCCCCUCACAAAUACUAUAUUGGAUUUCGGUAUGUCCAUCCUUUAACAGAAGAAGCAAUUGAAGAGAUGGAGAGAGACGGCCUAGAAAGGGCUAUUGCUUUCACGCAGUAUCCACAGUACAGCUGCUCCACCACAGGCAGCAGCCGAAAUGCCAUUUACAUAUACUAUAAUCAAGUGGGACGGAAGCCCAUGAUGAAGUGGCGCACUAUUGACAGGUGGCCCACACAUCGCCUCCUCAUUCAAUGCUUUGCAGACCACAUUCUAAAGGAAUUGGACCAUUUUCCACUUGAGAAGAGAAUCGAGGUGGUCAUUCCGUUUUCUGCUCACUCACUGCCAAUGUCCGUGGUCAACAGAGUGACCCGUAUCCUCAGGAGGUGAGCGCCACUGUCCAAAAGGUCAUGGAAAGGCUGGAGUACUGCAACCCCUUCCGACUGGUGUGGCAAUCCAAGGUUGGUCCAAUGCCCUGGUUAGGUUCUCAAACAGAUGAAUCUAUCAAAGGACUCUGUGAGAGGGGGAGGAAGAAUAUCCUCUUGGUUCCGAUAGCAGGACAUCCAGUACUCAAGUUUUAGCCAAGGGGUGUGGAGUUGAAAACAUCAGAAGAGCAGUCUCUUAAUGGAAAUCCAUUGUUCUCUAAGGCCCUGGCCGACUUGGUGCAUUCACACAUCCAGUUAAACGAGCUGUGCUCCAAGCAGCUGAUGCUGAGCUGUCCACUCUGUGUCAAUCCUGUCUGCAGGGAGAUUAAUUGUUCUUCACCAAACAGCAGCUGUGACCCCUGCCAGUGGACCCUGUGACAUUAGGUAAAUGCCCAACCUCUAGAUACCCCUGACUUGGAGAGGAUGUUGUUUAGAGAUCAAGGAAGGAAGUCACCCUUCCUUGAUAUAUAUCCAGCCUUUGGGCACAAAUUGUGUGAUUUCUUGAGGAUUGGACUCUAUUGAUAGAUUUCUAUUUUUAUAUAACUAUACAGGAAGCAUUUAGAUUUUCUCUCUCUAGGUAUAAGUUACUAAUUUGGAAUGUACACUAGGACCUUUAAUAAGUAAAAAAUUUAUCUUAUCAGAUACACCUAUGUUAAAUACAGAUUGUGGCUUUAUUGCCCCAAAGCCUCCUGAAAGGGUACAGAGAGCCCUCUUUGUGGGCCGUCAGUGUGAAUGAGAUCUGUUUACAGUCUUUCGCAUAUAGUUGCUGUUUUUUAAAUGAACAUAGUUGAGUGUUUGAAAUGAAUUUGAAAAAGAAAUGUUACUUAACCUUUCCCUAAUCCCAUGGUUUACAGAAAGCUAGGGGGGCAAUGUGGUUACCUGCAAUGGCUGCUUUCGCCAGCGAGGCCACCAUUCACUGGUCAUCUUGGUAUUUGUGUGGGAAUCUUACUUUCCUCCAUGUAAAAAAAACCAAGUAUGCAUUUCAGAAGUGCUCUGAGAGUCCUCGUAUAACCAAGGCUAGUAAAUAUGUAGAAGUACAGUGUCCGUCAAACGUGCCUUAGUGGGAGUUCAGGGUGCCACAGGGAAGGGGCUCCCACUGCUUCCGGUGUCCAGGGACAGCGCUGCUGGAAAGGCCAAGGAUGAGCUUUCCCCUGGAGCUCCCCCGGGACCUCGCGAGCCUUUCCACCUGGCGGCUUCUCUAUCUUAGUCGAAUGCCUUCUUUCUGCACAUUUGUUUGAAGAAUUCUUUUAUAAAGUCAACGAUGCUUUGUAAUCCUGAAUUCUUCCUUAAUUCAUGGUUUUUUAUUAUAAAAAUUAUGUAGCCAUACAAUGGGACAUGUGAAGAAUACAGAUAAGUUACCACUUUGAUGCAGUAACUAUUAGCAUAAUAUUGUAUUUCAUGCCAGUCCUUUCCUGUAGAUAUUUUUAAUGCCAUUUCAACCUUGGAUUUGUGAGUGAAAAGUGUUUCUAAAAAUACAGAAAUAAUGUCAGAUCAGAAUGUGAUCCUCUAUAUUUGUAUUUAAAUGAAUUAGAAGAUUCCUGGUGGUUCUAUGAA